rnacentral:rRNA from 1 species
UGGGGAAUAUUGGACAAUGGGCGAAAGCCUGAUCCAGCCAUGCCGCGUGUGUGAAGAAGGUCUUCGGAUUGUAAAGCACUUUAAGUUGGGAGGAAGGGCAGUAAGCGAAUACCUUGCUGUUUUGACGUUACCGACAGAAUAAGCACCGGCUAACUCUGUGCCAGCAGCCGCGGUAAUACAGAGGGUGCAAGCGUUAAUCGGAAUUACUGGGCGUAAAGCGCGCGUAGGUGGUUCGUUAAGUUGAAUGUGAAAGCCCCGGGCUCAACCUGGGAACUGCAUCCAAAACUGGCGAGCUAGAGUAGGGCAGAGGGUGGUGGAAUUUCCUGUGUAGCGGUGAAAUGCGUAGAUAUAGGAAGGAACACCAGGGGCGAAGGAGACCACCUGGGCUCAUACUGACACUGAGGUGCGAAAGCGUGGGGAGCAAACAGG